rnacentral:rRNA from 1 species
UACGUAGGGUGCGAGCGUUAAUCGGAAUUACUGGGCGUAAAGCGUGCGCAGGCGGCUUUGCAAGACAGAUGUGAAAUCCCCGGGCUUAACCUGGGAACUGCAUUUGUGACUGCAUGGCUGGAGUGCGGCAGAGGGGGAUGGAAUUCCGCGUGUAGCAGUGAAAUGCGUAGAUAUGCGGAGGAACACCGAUGGCGAAGGCAAUCCCCUGGGCCUGCACUGACGCUCAUGCACGAAAGCGUGGGGGAGCAAACAGG